rnacentral:misc_RNA from 1 species
AUAUCUCAACCACGCACGAAAGCGUGUGGCUUGGACUUGGGGGAUUAUGCAGGCUCGGACUCAGUCGGUCAGUCUGCUCCCCUGAAAUACAUGAGCGAAAUAAAAGGCCUCUUUGUUGGGUGUGAUAACUCUAUCUGCAUCCGAGGGUCGUUUACGUUUGCCAGAUUGGAUUGGAUUGGAUUUCAUUUG